rnacentral:rRNA from 1 species
UACGGGGGGGGCAAGCGUUGUUCGGAAUUACUGGGCGUAAAGGGCGCGUAGGCGGUUCGUUAAGUCCUGUGUGAAAUCCCCCGGCUCAACUGGGGAACUGCACAGGAAACUAGCGGGCUUGAGUUCGGGAGAGGGAAGCGGAAUUCCGGGUGUAGCGGUGAAAUGCGUAGAGUAUCCGGAGGAACACCGGUGGCGAAGGCGGCUUCCUGGACCGACACUGACGCUGAGGCGCGAAAGCUAGGGGAGCAAACGGG